rnacentral:rRNA from 1 species
GACGUAGGGGGCGAGCGUUGUCCGGAAUUAUUGGGCGUAAAGCGCACGUAGGCGGUCUGCUAAGUCGGGAGUGAAAGCCCUCGGCUCAACCGAGGAAGUGCUUUCGAAACUGGCAGACUUGAAUACUGGAGAGGGUCGUGGAAUUCCCGGUGUAGCGGUGAAAUGCGUAGAGAUCGGGAGGAACACCAGAGGCGAAGGCGGCGACCUGGACAGCUACUGACGCUCAUGUACGAAAGCGUGGGGAGCAAACAGG